rnacentral:rRNA from 1 species
UGACCUCGGAUCAGGUAGGGAUACACGCUGAACUUA